UACAGAGGGUGCAAGCGUUGUUCGGAAUUAUUGGGCGUAAAGGGCGCGUAGGCGGCCUCCGCAAGUCGACUGUGAAAUCUCCGGGCUUAACCCGGAAAGGUCAGCCGAAACUGCGGGGCUAGAGUGCAGAAGGGGCAACUGGAAUUCUCGGUGUAGCGGUGAAAUGCGUAGAUAUCGAGAGGAACACCUGCGGCGAAGGCGGGUUGCUGGGCUGACACUGACGCUGAAGCGCGAAAGCUAGGGGAGCGAACGGG
rnacentral:rRNA from 1 species